rnacentral:rRNA from 1 species
UACGUAGGGGGCAAGCGUUGUCCGGAUUUAUUGGGCGUAAAGAGCGUGUAGGCGGCCAGACAGGUCCGUUGUGAAAACUCGAGGCUCAACCUCGAGAUGUCGAUGGAAACCGUCUGGCUAGAGUCCGGAAGAGGAGUGUGGAAUUCCUGGUGUAGCGGUGAAAUGCGCAGAUAUCGUAAGGAAGACCAGUGGCGAAGGCGGGUAGCUGGGCCGACACUGACGCUGAGGCGCGAAAGCCAGGGGAGCGAACGGG